UACGGAGGGUGCGAGCGUUGUCCGGAAUCACUGGGCGUAAAGGGCGCGUAGGCGGCAUGCCAAGCGUGUGGUGAAAGCCCGGGGCUCAACCCCGGGUCGGCCGUGCGGACUGGCGUGCUCGAGCACUGUAGGGGCGGGUGGAAUUCCCGGUGUAGCGGUGGAAUGCGUAGAGAUUCGGAAGAACACCGGUGGCGAAGGCGGCCCGCUGGGCAGGAAGGCUCGCAAGAGCCGGCUGACGCUGAGGCGCGAAAGCAUGGGGAGCGAACAGG
rnacentral:rRNA from 1 species